rnacentral:lncRNA from 1 species
AAUGGGUUGAUUGAUGAAAAAAAUCAGAUUAGAAGAGGGAGGCAUCUACAUAGUUGCUGAAUAUGGAUAGGUUUUUGAAGAUUUCGUAGCCCAAGCAUUUGCAGGUUAAAAAUUAUCCUACAGAAACUUUUCCUUUACGUAUCAUCCAAUAUUUUAUGGGCUACAGGGGGCAGGGAAGGAGCAACAAAAAUUUUAUAGUUUUCCAAAAAGUCAUUUUUUGUACCUUCCUUUGCCAGAACAUCCGCUACUUUGUUUUGUUCCCUGUAGCUAUGUUGGACAUGGGUCCACUUAGCCUUCUUAGCAUCAACCUACAAUCAUGAAUGUUAGGGUUAAAGAGUGAAUUUACAUUUUUAAGCAUAUGGAUCACGUCUUCAGAGUCAAUGUUUAUAACAAUGGGGUUGAGAUUAUACUCCAAAACUAGCUGCAGGCCUUUUCUAAGAGCUAGAAGUUCCAUAAAAUUGUUAGUGGCAUGAAAAAAAUUCUGAGAGAAGCCCAAGAUCCAGUCACCAUUAGAGUUCCUCAUAACACCUCCUAUGCUACCUACCAAGAUUUCCAAAACUAGUCCCAUCUGUGUUGAGCUUAUAGAAGUGCCUGGGGGAAUCCAGUUGACUUCUAUAGUGCUAAUCAUCUUAGGGGUUAGGUGAGUUUUUAGAUAAAAGAAUUUGACUGCCUCCGAGUUGGCAGUUUUGAAAUACGGGUGUAAGGAUUUGUUAUUAAACAUAUUAGAAUUUCUAUUCUUCCAGAUAGUCCAAUGAAAAAAGGGAAGUAAGGUUGCCAAGUCUAAAAGGUUGUCAUAACUAGAAUCCUUAAGCAACUUCCAAGUGUUAUUCCAUCUAGAAGGGUAGAAAAGUUGGGGGAGAAUGGCUUUGUCUCCUUUAUAACCUUGAAUGAGGUCUUACCAGAAGGAAACAACAUGAAGACAAUUGAAGAAGAGGGGAGAAAUAUCUCUCAGCUGAUGGUUACAAUUAUGACAGUAAGAAAGGAUAUUAAACCCCUAUAGGCCAAAGUAGAAUUGGUGAAAAGGUUGUCAUGGUGGAGGAGCCAAGGAAAAACCUUGAUUUUGUUAGGAAUCUGGAGUUUCCAAAUUCAACCUAGCUGAGGGUAGCUAUGACUUGAAUGUUGCCUUUGAUAGAAUAUGUGAUGGUAGAUAAUUUUACAAGAAAGACUCUAUUGCCCGUGAGAAGCCAGAGAGGAGUGUAGAUUACUUUUAUAUUUAGGCAGAAAGGGGUUUUGGAAGUUGAAUUUAAUUGAGUUGGGAAUGUCAAAAGGGAAGGAAUUAAGAUUUCAGACUCCAUUUUGCAAAAAGGAAGAAAGUUGCAAGGAGAGACAGGGUUUGGGGAGUGGUCCUUGAAUAAUGGAGUAGAAAGGAGGGUGAUUAGGGACCCAUCUAUCUCUCCAACUAUUAAAUUUGUGGCAAUUAUAAACAAACCAUUGGAAAAGAUCAUGACAGAGGUUUCAAGCUCUACGAACAUUCCUCCAGAUUCUAGAAUGGGAAGAAAAUAUGUAUUCCGGUGUUAGGUGUGCUCUUUUGGGUAAGAAAUCUUGCCCAUAAGGCAGAGGGAUUAGAAUGCAGUCUCCAGGCUAAACUGCAAAGCAGAGUGUCAUUCUUGAUACUAGUUUUUUUUCAUCCCCAGACCACCCAAGUGUUGGGGUUGGGUGAUAAUGUCCCACCUAACCAUGUGCAUUCUUUUUUUAGAGUCAGUAGUACCCCAGAUGAAUUUUAUUUGGGCCCUAUCAAUAAGGUUAUAAAUCUUUCUGGAAAGAAGGAUUUAUUGCAUAACAUGGUUGGGGAUACUUCCCAAACUAGCCUUGGCAAGAGUGGUCCUACCGGCCAUGUUUAGGAAUUUAACCUUCCAAUCAGCUAAUCUGGUACUUAUAUUAUCAAGAAUGAACUGGAAGUCAUUGAGUUUAGGAGGGCCAUGGAAAAUGGGAAAGCCCAAGUACUUCCCAAAAAAGUUGUUGGCCUUAAUGCCAAGAAUAGAUGAGAGAUGAUCCUUAGUAGAGGUGUGGUGGUUGGAGGAGAAAAGCACCUUAGAUUUGGCCAGAUUAACUUUUAGGCCAGAGUGAGUGUUGAAGAUGGCAAGAGUUUUAGCAAUGGUAGUAUAACUGAGAAUGACAACUUUAGCAAAUAGGGUAAGGUCAUCCAUGAAGAAAAGAUGGGAGAUUUUUAGGCCUCUAAGAUUAAUUUGAAUGGGAUUCCACUGAAAAGUGUCCACCUUAUGAUUAAUCCUUCUAGACAGAAGCUCCAUGCAAAGGAUGAAAAUGUAAGGGGAUAGGGGAUCCCCCUGUCUUAUUUCCCUAGAAGGCUUGAAACUAGAUGUGUAACCUCCAUUGACAAGAAUGAAAAUACAUUAGGUAGAGAUGCAGGACAUGAUAAGUUUGGAGAGCCCGGGGGGAAAUUGAAAAAAUCCAAGGCUUGCCUAAUGAAGGAUCAUUCCAGCCUAUCAAAGGUUUUUUCAAGACAUGAUUGAGAAAUGCUUAUUAUUGGUAAAGUGAAGGUCGAAAAGGAAAAUGAGAAACUCCAUAGACCCAUUGACAUAAACUUGCCCAAUUUUUUAAUUAAUUUUAGAACUAAUUUCAAUUUUCCAAAAAAUACAAUUUCAAAUGUGAUUAUUUUUUUAUAAAAAGGUAAAAUUUAAUUGAUAAGUUUAUAUUUUAUAAUUCGUCACCUUAAAUUUUGCAAGAAAAAUUAUGCACGAUGUAAAAUAGAUUGUUUAUAUUAUAUGGAAGGAUUAUAUUAAAAAAAUAAUCAGUUACUGUUAUUGUUGAGUUUUUGAAUGAGUGGAUCUUUGUAAAAUUAUGUGUAUUUAAGAAAUUCAUUAGGAUUCGAGAAAAGGGGGUACUCGAACGGGAGUGAUGUAGAUAGUUUACACUAAUAUAAAUUGUACUAGUAAAUUAUUUGAUUGAACUCAUGAUCUUGAUAAUUAUUGUGCUUGAAUUUGUGACUCGGUAAUUGUCUUUUCGGGUUUGUGAGCAAGUAACUGCUUACAUAAAAUCCGGAAUAAGAUUUGCCAUUUCCAUUCGGUUAGUGAUAACUUUGUUAUUACUUUAUUUGAAUUUGUGACCUAGUAAUUACUUGCUUGAAUUUGGCAUCUAAUAAUUGCUUGUUUAAAUUCGUGAGCUAGUAAGUAUUUGUUCGAACUCGCGAUCUAUAAGUCAUAACCCUUCAUCUUUCAUGAAAGCAUGAAUAAGAUUUGCUAAGUUUCACUCAGUAGUGAUAGUUUAAUUAUUGUUUUAAUGUAUCUGAAGUUUUUCUAAAGUAAAAUAAAAAGGGAGACCCAGCAGAAUUAGAAAAAGAAUGAUAUUGUAAGUGAUACGAUGUAGAUAUUCUAUUCUAAUGCUAACAUCAUUAGUAAUGCUCGGUUGAACUCAUGACCUAAUAAUUGCUUGGUUGAACUCGUGACUUAUCGAUUACACGACAAUAGCCGAUUGAAAGGUGUUCUUUUGGGGAAGAAGAGUUCAAGUCCAAGAGAAAUGAAUUGUUAAAAUACGAUAGCUAUUUGGAGGCCCAAGUUAAAGUCUAAGAAUAGAAAUAUUAGGGGAUCAAAUUUAGUUUUGAAGAGAUCCAAAAUUGCGUCCAAAAGAGCCCAAAAGGAAACCAACUGUAGCCUUUAUGUGGAGCUAAAAACAACAGGCUCAAAGGCCACAACCAAAAUAACCCAAUACAUCUUUAUUUUAUCUCAAAUAUUAGGGUUUAACUUCUAACUCCACUGCCAAACUAUUAUUUUUUUUUGAAAGUUCUAGAAUGACCUUUUAGGGAUUUAUAAGCCAAGGUUUUCUUUCAUUUUCAUAACCCAUCAGUGCCGAAAAGUUGCUUCUUUCCUUAUUCUUUCAAGCUAUUCUCUCUCUCGGUAUCAGAGCCAUCAUAGACUUCAAAUCCAGUCCAUUGUCUAUGAAAAUUCACCUAAAUCCGUAUAUUUGAAAGUACUUCGUUCAGCUUUAACUUAGAUGAAAUUUGUGAGUAUCUUCAAUCCUCAUUAUUUUUCUUAUAUUUUGUGUGAGUCUGAUCUUUCGUCUUCUUUAUUUUAACCGUCAGAUCCCAUCUUUUAUAAGCUUUGAUUCUAUCUUCUUUUCUUGUACAAAAAUCUUUAUUUAGGAAGUAAUGAAAUAUCAUCAUUUAAUAUGUAUAUUUUCAUUUCUAUCAUUUAAUAUCACAAGCCUUAAAAGUGAACUUAACUGAAUCUUGAAUGAUAUGUAUCUUUUCAUUUCUACGAUUAAGAUCAGUUGCAGAAUCUCAAAUAGAAUGAAGAAAAUUUGUUAAAUCUAUAUAUGAUUUUUAUUUGACUCGAAGAAAAUAUUUAUUUUUUAUUUAAUUGAGUUUCUUUUUUUUUUUGGUAAAGUAGAGAUGCAUUAUAUUAAAGCAAAGGAAGGGAGCUCAAUCCGGCUCCAAAACAAACAUAGUUUAACGUGCAAUCGGCGUCUGAGAAGAAAAAACUGAUCUAGAGAAUCGUUUUCCUAACAUAUCAUCCCAAACUGUGUGGGUUACAAAAUGGGGCGGGGAUACAAAAACUUUACAGUAGUCCAAAAAACUUCCUUUUGCGCCUUCCUUUGCUAGAGCAUCUGCCACUCUGUUCUGUUCCCUGUAGUUAUGUUGGACCGGAGGCCUUCCUAGUCUUUGCAGCAUCAACCUGUAAUCAUGAAUGUAGGAGUUAAAAAGUGUAUUCCCAACUUGCAAUAUUUUGAUGAUAUCCUCAGAAUUAACAUUGAUGAUAAUGAGGGUUAAGUUUUGAUCAAUAACAAAUUGAAGACCCCUCCAAAGAGCUAACAGCUCCAUGAAAUUAUUGUUAGCGUGGAGGUAACUUUGGGAGCAGCCUAGCACCCAAUUACCAUUGGCAUUUCGAAUGACACCACCAAUACCUCAUUUUCCCGGAUUACCUCAAACUGGAGCCAUCAGUAUUGAUCUUAAAGUGAUUAGCAGGAGGGGAGUUCCAACCUGCAUAAAUGGUGGUAUAAAUUCUGGAAGUGGAGGUAUGAUUCAGGUGGUAGAACUCUAUAGCUUCAGAAUAAGCAAGUUUAAAGGAAGAGUAGGAGGAUUUAUUGUUGAAAGAAUUUGAGUUUCUAGUAUUUCAAAUAUGCCAAAGGCCAAAGGAUAGCAGCGUUAACCAACUGACUAGGCUAUCAUAGUUGGAGUUUCAUAACAGAAGUCAGGUGGUGUUCCAGUUGGAAGGGUGAAACAUUAGGGAAUUGAUGGUAAGAGACUCUUGAUAAAGUUGGAAAAGGUCUAUCCAUAGAGAGUUGACAUGAGGGUAGGAGAAUAAUAGAUGGGGAUGUCCUCAUAAAGAAGAGAACAGUGAUAACAAUAGGGAGCCAUGGAGAGACCCUUAUAAGCAAAGGUGGAGUUAGUUUGGAGGUUGUUAUGGUGAAGAGACCAGAGGAAGAAUUUGAGUUUAUUAGGAACAGAAAGUUUCCAAAUCCACCCAACAGAAGAAGAAUUAUGGGUGGAAGGAUGUUUAGUGGCAGCAAGGUAGUGGUAAACAGUCUUGCAACAGAACAUCCAAUUGCCUGUCAGGGUCCAAAGGGGGAGAUCAGCCUUGAGAUGAGGGUCAGGAUUGAAAGUAUUAAUCAUACUGAGUUGAAGCUCUCCAGGGAUGACAAAAGGGGGGGAGCUGAGGUUCCAACUGUUGUUCUGCCAAAAAGAGUACAACCUAAGAGUGGUGCAUGAUUUUGGAAGGAGGCCAUGGAUGAGGUUAGCUAGGGGUGGAUGGCAAGGAACCCAUCUAUCUUUCCAAAUGUCAAUCUUAUGACCAUUGAAGACAGACCAUUGGAUAAUUCCUCUACAGAGGGACCAAUCUUUUUGGAUAUUUCUCUAGGUUCUUGAGGAAAAAGAAGUAAGAUUUCUAGUGGGAUGACUUCUUUGGACCGGGACUUGAGCCCAUAAGAAAGUGGGGUUAGAGUGAAGUCUUCAGGCGAGGCUACACAAUAAGGAGCCAUUUUUUAGAUGGGCUUAUUAUAAGCCUAGACCUCCCAAAUGUUUGGGUUGGGUGAUGGUGGUCCAGUUGACCAUAUGCAUAUUUUUUUCUCAAUCCCCAUAUAAAGUUUCUUUGGGCUCUAUCAAUUAGAGUGUGGAUCUUACUAAGUAGGAGGAUGUAUUGCAUAACAUGGUUGGGGAUAUUUCUCAAGCAGGAUUUGGCAAGGGUGGUCCUGCCAGCCAUAUUAAGAAAUUUGGUUUUUCAACCAGCUAGUUUGUUACUAAUGUUAUCAAGGAUAAAGUGAAAUUCAGACAGCUUGGGAGUACCAUGAAAGAUAGGGAAUCCAAGUUAUUUCCCAAAGGUGAGGCUGGAUUUGAUGCCCAAGGUGAAGAAAGAAGAUAUUUAGUAGAAGAGAGGUAGUUAGAGGAGAAAAUUACUUUAGAUUUAGAUAGAUUAACUUUUUGGCCAGAGAAAAGACUGAAAUUUUGAAGGGUUCUGAUAAUGGUAGCACAAUUGAGGGUAUCAGCUUUGGCAAAGAGAGUUAAGUCAUCAACAAAGAAGACAUGAGAGAUCCUAGGUCCUCUAUGGUUUAUUUGGAGAAUAUGUCAUUGAAGAAUAUCAACUUCAUGGUUAAUUCUUCUAGAAAGGAUCUCCAUGCAAAGGAUGAAAAGAUAAAGAGAGAGAGGAUCUCCUUGUCUAAUUCCUCUGGUAGGAUAAAAGUAAGGAGAGAAGUUGUCAUUCACAAGAAUAGAGAUAGAAGAUGAUGAGACACAAGACAUAAUAAGCUUGAUGAGACCAGAGGAAAAGUUAAAGUAGAAGAGGGCUUGUCUAAUGAAAGACCAUUCUAGUCUGUCAAAGGCCUUCUCUAGAUUAAUUUUUGAGAUCAUAUUGGGGGUUAAACCCUUCAUUCUUCUAAAGUGGUCAAUGUACUCUUGAACAAUAAUGACAUUAUCAGAGGCUCUCCUUUUAGUAAAAAAAACUAGCCUGGGUACUCCCUAUGAUGGAUUGAAGGAAGCGCUUGAGUCUAUUAGCAAUAAUCUUGGUAAUGAUUUUAUAUUGAGUAUUGCGGAGACCAAUAGUUCUGAAGUUCUUAAGGGUGGUAGAAUUCUUGCACUUAGGGAUGAGGCAAAGGUAAGUGGUGUUUACUUGUACAUCCAUAGUCCCAUGAGUAAAAGUAUGCGAGCAAAAAUUCAGAAGGAGUGGGACAAAAGAAUUCCAGUAUUUUUGGUACAUGAAAGGAUGCAUACCAUCUGGACCAGGAGCUUUAAAGGGAUAAAAAGAGAAAACAACAUUUCGAAUCUCAGAUAAAGAGGGGAUGGAUUCUAAGAUAGGGUGGCAAGAGGGAGGAAGAGAUCCAUUAAGGGAGGGGUUCCUCAAGCAGUGUAAGUGGCCUUGAAGGUGGUCAGUUUUGAAGAUGGAAAUUAGUAGGAGGUGAUAGCUAGCUUAAUGUGAACAUGGGCAUAGAUCCAUCUACCUUGGUCAUGAAGGCAGUGGAUGAUGUUCCUUCUCCUUCUAUUAAGGGUGGAGGUGUGAAAGAACCUAAUGUUUUGGUCCCCUUCAAUGAGCCAAUUUAUCCUGGAUUUAAGCAUCCAAAAGUCCUGCUCAUUCUUAAGGAUAACAUUGUAUUCCUUAGUGAGCUGAUCCUCUAGCUUAUGGAGGAAAGUACUAGUAAGGUAAUUAGGGGACUAUUAGAUACACUUAAGCCUAGCUAGAAGAUGUUUCUUUUUGUGGAAAAUAUUUCUAGACUCAACUCUAAAAGGCUUGUGAGGGAUGUGAGGAGGUCUGCCAAAAGUAACCAGGAGGGGAAGUGGUCAAAAUGAGUCCUAGGUAGAUGGAGUAUGGAGGCCUUAGGGUAAAGAUGAAUCCAAUGGUCAUUAGCAAAGCACCUAUCCAGUCUCUCUAGGAUAAGAUUAUGUCUAUUCUUGUAUCUCAUAUUGGACCAAGUGAAUUUUCUACCUUUAAAAACAAGGUCUAUGAGGCUGCAAUGGUUCAGGCAAUCCCUAAAGGUUGAAGCUUUGUAAUUAUUAAUACUAAGACCCCCAAACUUCUCAUAAGCAGUUAAGAUUUCAUUAAAAUCACCACCUAUGAACCAGAUAACACUUUCAAGAGACUGAAGAGAGUCAAAAAUACACCUUAAUUGGUCCCAAAGGUCUCUUCUAAAGGAAAAAAUAUUACUAGCAUAAAUAACACUAAGAAUCCAACAAGAAGGGGGAGAACUAACCUUGACAGUCGCAUGGAUGACCUAGGGGGAGAUGGAAAUAUCCUUUAAGGAGAUGACAUCAUCCUUCCAAAAAAUAACAAUCCCCCCGAAAGAAUCAGAAGUAGAGGAUUGAAGAAAUCAAGGGAAACUUAGCUCAUCAGCAUACAAUAUUAGAAAAUUCUUCAUUGCUGAUUUUUUAUAGUUUCCCUGAGAGAUUUGCUUCCCCUUCCCCUGAGACCUUGAGAAGCUGGGGAAGUCCAGUCUCUUUCUUUUCCUCCAGAGAAGUGAGAUCUUUGAUUUGUAAGGAGCCCUAUCAUAGGGUUUGGCAACUCUAUACCUAUUUCUACCCUGGAUAUAUCCAGAGGAAGGAUUACAACAACCAGUUCUUGAGUAGGCCCCUCGAAAACCAGGCUUACAGGUUUUUCCAAAGUGAGAACAUCUGUCCUGGGUAUUGUCAACUGGCUGAGAGGGCUUCUAUCUCCCUGUUGCUCUCUUUAAGAGUUUCUAGGGUUUUAUCCCUUACUAAUACCUCUGUGUUCAGAAUAGAGGUCUAGGGAGUAAGGUUUGGAGAGAUAGUGAUGGAAUUGGUGGGUCUGCCCCACUGAGAUUCACAGAAAGAGGGCCCAUUGCCAAAAGAGAGGGGUAUGGGGGUGGAUAGAAUUGGAGGUUUGAGCUCAUGAUGCUCAUCAUCUCUGAUUUUAACGUUGGAGUGAGAUCUUAUUGAAAGGAUGGAUAAAAAAUUUGCAAGAGUGUGGUCAUCCACACAUUUGGUCCAAAGUUCUGGAGACCCUGGUUGAGUCACUCCAUAGCCAGGAGUGCUAAGUAGUGAGGGUCCUGAAUCAUCAUAGUGAACUGGAAUCCCCCCAUUGUAGGUAAAGAGGGAAGGACUAAACUGCUAGACAAACCUCCAAUCACGAGAUAAAAAUAUGGGUUGGAGAUAGGAGAGCUGAGGUGAGAGUGAUCAAAGUUGGAGUAGGAGUGCUCAUUUUAUGAAGUAGAAGAGUAAUGCAUGGCAUUCUCCUCAAUGAAAGUAUUUAGAGUAGAGGAGGGGAUGUGAAGAGCCUCAGCGUUGGACAUCUCAAAGGCAAUUAAUGCCUUGUCUGUGAGAUGAUUAUUGGCCAUCAAAUCGUUUAUGGAAAGAAAAAAGAUUGAUGGCGUGGGGGGGAGUUCCAAGGUUGAUGGGAGGUAAUCAUUUGAACAUAAGGGUAGGUCCCAUAGGACAAGUCUUUUUCUUUCUCUUUAUUUGAAGGUAAAGAGGAGGAAUGAGUAAUAAUAGGAGAAGGAGGGAAAUUGGAUAGCUUAUUAGGUUGAAGUUGAUAGGUAGGAUAAGAGAAGGUUAUCGGGCCGAACUUAUUAAAGGCAUAAGGAUAGGUGAUAGUUGGGCCCAAAGUAAGACUGGGCUUAAGGUUGAUUCCCAAAUAGGAAAAACCCAAAAGCUGGGUAGUAGCAUGGGCCUUAACAGUAGGAAUAAAUUUGGAUUGGCCCCUAUGAGGUUGAGGCAGCCCAUCGGCAAAAGCGACCCAAGAUGGCCUAGUAUCGUUAGAAGAUCCUAGCUGGGGAGCUUUGCCGGCGUCCAUGGGCAGCACCGUUGCUGAGGAGGUAGAAUUAGGAUACUUACCUAGAGUGGCGAGGGGCACACCGUUACCACAUUGAAGGCCUGUUCGGCGGUUGGGUGGAUCAAAAUUCUUACCAGAUCUCUUGUGAAAAGAUAUUGUUUUCCACUCGUUCUUCUCCUCUACAGCUGGAGUGUUCCCCAUGGAGUCCGAAAUAGAAGUUAAAAGCAGUGGAGGUGGAUUUGCUGGACAAGAGGUCAUCGCAUGUCUCAAACAGCCACAAGAUUUACACAGGAUUUUCUCACCUUCAUAGAUGAGUUGUUGUUUGUGGAGCCAAUAGUGACAGAGGUCCUUAUUGGCUUUCCCAAUUUGAUUUGCACACAGAUGUGUGCGUAUCGACCGCGUACAGUCGAGGAUGUGCAUGCGUCAACCCUGAGAAGGAUCCCAAUUUUUUGGCCAAUUCGCUCUAGGAUUGAUCGAUCAUAAAACUCAGUGGGUAAUUGCGGCAGGUGCACCCAGAUUGCAGUAGAGUUAAUCUUAGUGGUACUAGGGACGAAGUUGGGCUCCCAUUUCCCAACGAAAAUGAAGCUACCAGAUACAAACCAUGGAUCAUGAUGUAGUACUAGUUCCUGGUUGUCCUUUCCUUUGAAUUUCGCUGUGAAAAAAUCAUAACCCAAACCAAUUAGGCAUAAUGGUUCAGAGAGUUUCCAAAGAGCAUCAAGUUUAGUCUUGAGAUAAGGGUGGGUAAGUUUCCCUCUGAAAACCUUCAAGAUGACCAAAAAUUUCCAAGGCGAAUAGAUGCGGUGUUUUUCUUCCUGAGUGAGAUCAAUUGAAUCUCCCUCCGACUCAGACAAUUUAGUGUCAGAAUCGACGAAAAACAUUGGUUGAUCAGAUGGGAUUAUGGAAUUUGAGGCUAUAUCUUUGUAGUUGGGUUUAGUCGCCAUUGGAGAAGACGGUAGGUUGGGUCAGUAAAAGGAAAAUAAGAGGAAAGUAGAGAGAGGAGAGGGUAGACCAUCUCUCUCUACUCUAUUGUAUCCUUCACUUCAUUUAAUUGAGUUUCACUCCUAUAGCAAGUUGUUGUGCUCACAUUAUGUUGAGAAUGAAUCUCAAAGUUAAUAGUUGAUAGUCCAUAUUUUUUUAAUCUACAUAUCAACACAUAUUAAAUAAUUAGAAAAUAUUAAUCUUAUAACUUUAUCUACUUUAGAUACUUAAAUUGUUGGAAGAAAAUGGCUCAUAGUAGUGAAAUUUUCGAGGACCGUGGAUAUAAAGGCAUUAAUAUGAUAAUUGGUAUAAAUAUGAAAAUUAUAGAUUUUUAAGCAUUCAAUUUGUGCAUUAUCAAUCAGACAAUUAUUUGUUUACAUUAAGUUCCUCACAACUUUAAUCGUAUAACAGCUGCGAGGAACUUAAUAUAAACAAACAAGUAUCUGAUUGCUGAUGCUCAUUUUGUGUGUUUGAGAAUUUAUAAUUUUUUCUUUUAUCACGAUCAUCACAUUUGCCUUCUUUACGAUCCUCCCAAGUUUCACCAAUAUGAGUAAUUUUCUUUUAACAGUUUAAGCAUCCGAAGCAAAGUUAUAAGAUUUAAUAUAGUUCGAUUGUUUAAUUCAUGUGUUUGAUAUACGGAUUAGGAUGAUAAGAACUUCAACUGUUGAUUUUGAGAUUCAUCCUUAACAUCAAUGUGAAAACAGUAAUUAACUAAAGAAUAAAACACAAUUGAAGAAAAAGUAAAUAUUUUUAAGACGAAAAGAUAAAUUCUAUUCGAGAUAUAGUGUAGUUCACUUUAAAUUUCGUGAUUGUACUUACAUAUUAAAUAAAAAUAUAUUAUAACUUCAAAACUUGUUAAGAACCUAAUAAUAAAAAUUUAUAUGCUUUUUUCACACAUUAACAAGUAGAGACAUGAAAUUAAAAAAAUAUUUACUUUUUCAAAUGGGUUUUGAAUUGGGCCGGGUCGCGUGGGUGUUUUUAAAAUUUUAUUUAUUGGAUAUAUAAAUUAAAAAAGAGUGAAAAAAAAUAGUGGGUUGAUUGGAAAAGUUAUAAUAAUCUGGUCAAUAUGAUUUUUGUUUUAGUUUAUUCAAAGUUUAGUUAUUUUUGUAUUAGAAAAAAUAGUUAAGUUACUUUUGUAAAAAAAAAACGAUAGUUAACUUACCAUCUGUAAAACUUACUUGUUACUUAGAACAUGAGGAUGAAAAUCUCAAUUUAAAUUUUAAGCUUCAAAAGAACACAGAUAAUUGAGAUAUAAUUUUUAUCAAUUUAAUUAACAUACGCUUUAUUAUUUUUCAAAGUUAGAUGAUUUAUCUACAUUUAUUAUUUAGGAGAAACUCAAUUUCUAUUUUUUAAUAAUUUUAGUUUCUUAUAUAUAAUUAUAUUUAUCAACACGAGACAUACGUGCAAAGCACGUACACUUGACUAGUAAAUUAAAAAAGAGUGAAAAAAAUAGUGGGUUGAUCGGAAAAGUUACAAUAUCCUGGUCAAUAUGAUUUUUGUGUUAGUUUAUCCAAAAUUUAGUUAUUUUUGUGUUAGAAAAAAUAGUUAAAUUACUUUUGUAAAAAAAAAUGAUAGUUAACUUACCAUCCGUAAAACUUACCUGUUACUUAGAACAUGAGGAAAGCUAUAUAUUAAUCGUAGAAUAAAUAGUCAAAACACAUCUAAAUUAUUAUUUUUUUGUAAGUUUCACGCCUUGGCUAUCAAUUUUUUUUGUACUUGAAUUAUAACCAUCUACCAUCUGAGUAUUAAACACACCUCAAAAGUAAUUACUAAGGUAAAAAAAAAUAUCUAAAAAUAUCUAACAAUUAGAGUGAAAAACUUAUAAAAAGUGAUCAAUCAGAUAUAUUUUUUAUCAUUAUCUCUUAGAAAUGCUAUAUAUCUAGGAGAUAUGAUUAAAAGUUGUCACAUGAAGAGAAAAAUAAGAAAAUAUAAUCAAAAGAGUACUAUAGUGAAGAUGUUACAAUUGUCAAUUAAAUAAAAAAACUAGAAUAGAUCUUAAUGUCAAAUAGAUCCUACAUUUUUGUGAGUUUGAAUCUUGAAUAAAUUACUCCCUUAAGACUAGCAAAAACAAAAAAAAUAGAAAAUUCUUGUACUUAUAGGAAUUUGAUCUAUCACUUAAUUAGAACUUCACUCUAUUUCCGACGUUACAAAGUUUAUUAAAAAAUUUAUUAAAUAAAAUAAAGUAUUUUAGAAAUGGCUUCAAGAUGUGAAAUUUUCUUGGAAAUUUUGCUUGCANNNNNNNNNNNNNNNNNNNNNNNNNNNNNNNNNNNNNNNNNNNNNNNNNNNNNNNNNNNNNNNNNNNNNNNNNNNNNNNNNNNNNNNNNNNNNNNNNNNNNNNNNNNNNNNNNNNNNNNNNNNNNNNNNNNNNNNNNNNNNNNNNNNNNNNNNNNNNNNNNNNNNNNNNNNNNNNNNNNNNNNNNNNNNNNNNNNNNNNNNNNNNNNNNNNNNNNNNNNNNNNNNNNNNNNNNCACCCUACUUAUUUUAUUUUUUAUUUAAUUAAUUUUUUAAAAAAAAAUAAUACUGCAUAUAUAAAUUAAAAGUUAUUUUUUAGGCAUAUAUAUUAAAUCUCGACCAGCCUGAUGAAAUUUCUAGUUUUGACAUUGUUCAUGACAUGUAAUGUAUUAUUGAGUUGCACUCAGUGUGUCUUAACUGACAAGUAAAGCAGGUAAAAAUCACGAGAGAUGGUUCGGACGUGUUUUGGGUUAAAAAUUGAUUUGUGGCCCCCAGAGGGUGUGGAGCAGGUAAGGGUGGCCCGAUGGAGUUGGCGGGGCCAUUUGGACGGUUAAAUGGGUGAAACAGCGCGAGCGAGCCAUGCCCGGGGCACGAGCAUGUUUUGAGCUGAAAAUAACUUACGGCCCCCAGAUAGACUGAGGAAGGGGGGAGGGUAAGUUUAGAUUAUAGUGAAGAGAAAAUACGAUUAUUAGCUGAAUUGUCGAUAAGAAACAACAGAUAUUUAAUUGAAUUCACAAGCACGCAUAUCAGAUAAUUUACUUUAAAAAGUUUAAAUAUAUGAAAAGAAAUUCAUUUUGAAAAUUGAUUUCUAAGAUUUCAAUUAAUAUAAGUUAUAGUCACACGAAUAUUUAGAACUUAUUUUAAAUCACAAAUUUUAAAAAUAUAUUUUUUUUUUUAAUUUGGUGUACAAUCAAAUACAAUAAAUUUGUUAAUAACUUUUAUUAAUUUUUUUUCUUUUUGGUUUUGCAGUGUGAGUUCUUGAUUUGCUUGAUUUUGACCUUACUAGGUUAUAUUACUGGGAUAAUUUAUGCAAUUUAUGCAAUCGUUAUCCGUGAUCAUGAUUAAAUUAUAUUUUGUAAAGAAAAAUUUAUUCAACUCUGUUGAGAAUCAAAAUAAUAAUAAUAAAAAAAGUUAAAUGACCAUCUAUAAACCAAUUCGACAUAGUACAUACAUGAUUGAAUCCACAAGCAAAUAUAUCAGAUAGCUUUGUACAUAAAUUUUCGGCAGAUGACAAAAAAAAAAAAAUCUACUUUUAAUUUUGAUUUUUGAAAUUGAUUCUCUAUAUUGUACAUAAAUGUUAAGGCGCCACGUUGAAAGUCUUCUCGAAAGAAGAGCUUCUAAUAAUAAUACAUCAUGUCGCGAAUUUGAAUUAAUCAGCGUCACAAUGCAUGUACCAUAUACCAGAUGCGAAAUUAAAUGCUUAUAAUAUCUUUUAACACAAUAAAUUUUGUUAAUCACUUUGAUUAAUAAAAUUUUAAUUAUAUUUUUUUUAUGCUUACAAUCUCUUUCAACACAAUAAAUUUUGCUAAUUACUUUGAUUAAUAAAAUUUUAAUUAAUUAUUUUUUUUUAUUUUUGCAGUGUGAAUUCUUGAUUUGCUUGAUUUUAACCUUAUUAGGUUAUAUUCCUGGGAUUAUUUAUGCAAUUUAUGCAAUUGUGGUUCGUGGUCAUGAUCAAGAUGAAGAAUGGCGUCCUCUUACUGCCUAAUUAUUUUUUUUUUAAUUAUUAUUAUUAUUAUUAAUUUAUUUAUUUUUUUGGAUAAUAGGAAAACAAUAAUUCUAGAUUUAUUUGAUCCAGAAAAUAUUUUUUUAGCUGAUAUGCUUUGGUUCUUUAACAGAAAUUAAUAAAAGUUUUGGCAUAUUGUCCCUAUUUAUUUUUAUCUUCUUCAAAAAAAAAUAUGUGAUUUACCUAAUAUAAUGCAGUUUACUAUUAUUAUGCUCAUAGAUAUAAUGUAUUUCGCUACGCUCUGAUAUUAGGCGUUAAUAUUGUAUAUUCUGCUACGGAGAUAUUUUAUACGCUUGAAUACACUUAUUUGUACCAUCAUAACUUAAAAAUCAAAACUGC